AACGCGAAGAACCUUACCUGGCCUUGACAUGUGCGUAGUAGAAUCCUGAAAGGGAGACGAGGUAGCAAUACCAGCGUACACAGGUGCUGCAUGGCUGUCGUCAGCUCGUGCCGUGAGGUGUUCGGUUAAGUCCGGUAACGAGCGCAACCCCUGUGUCUUGUUGCUAAUAGGGCGAGAGUCCUAUGCACUCGAGACAGACUGCUCUGUGAAACGGAGAGGAAGGUGGGGAUGACGUCAAGUCAGUAUGGUCCUUACGGCCAGGGCUGCACACGUGCUACAAUGCCUGGUACAGAGGGAUGCCAAACCGCAAGGUGGAGCUAAUCCCAGAAAACCAGGCCCAGUUCAGAUUGCAGGCUGCAACUCGCCUGCAUGAAGUUGGAAUCGCUAGUAAUGGCGCAUCAGCUACGGCGCCGUGAAUACGUUCCCGGGCCUUGUACACACCGGAGUA
rnacentral:rRNA from 1 species